GAGGUUAUAGCUCAAUGGUAGAGCUAUCCCCUUUUAAGGGAUAGACCAGGGUUCGAUUCCCUGUAGCCUCA
rnacentral:tRNA from 2 species